GCAAAGGCUGCCUUGCUCUCUUCCACGGGGAUCUGACGCUGCUUACUCCUUUGGGAAGGGCAAUCCUCUCCUGGGAUCUGAGGAGGCCAGCCAAGCAGAUCAAGC